rnacentral:lncRNA from 1 species
GAACACAUCAGAAUUAGGUCCGCCGCUGACAUAUAAAACAACAUAUUUUAAUCAUUUUAUACUUAGUCUAUGCUGCAUGGCCUAGUGAAUCAAUCACACCAUUCAUCAAUAUAUUUGCUAUCAAUGUCAACCAGAAAGAAACUUUACACCAUACGGAAUACCCUAAAUAAUGGCUAAACUACCGGGAGAGGUUGUACUUCGUUGCAAGCCUUACGUUCACGUCCUUCUGAAUUCUGAAUGUGAGACGAGGUGUCAUUUUUGUUUAAAGAGGCCAUUUCCUCAUACAGGUGCGCCAUGAGAAUAUUAUACUAACCGUUGUUCAGAGGUUCUUCUAUCUGUAUGCUUUGACUUUAUACUAAUCCUGAGAAGAAAGGGAUCGAAACCACUGAAGUAUAUCGGUCUCAGAAACAAAAUACCAUCAUGAAGUUUCGAAAGCAGAUAUUGUUCCCCCAGUUCCCGGAGCUCGAACUAUUAUUUUGAUUUCUACAACUAUACAUAUUUUUUUCAAAAAGAAGUAAAAAAGAGAAAAAACUUGUACUUAAUGAAACGUAAUUGCUAUUCCCAUUUUUUAGUGAAGAUGAUGUAGCAGCGUCAAAGUAUACCUGAGAAUUUUUAUUUCUUUUACGAAACAUGUUUUAAGUAUUGUAAUAACUGAUGAUUUUGUAUUUGACGAACAAUA